GACGAACGCUGGCGGCGUGCUUAACACAUGCAAGUCGAGCGGUAAGGCCCUUUCGGGGGUACACGAGCGGCGAACGGGUAAGUAACACGUGGGUGACCUGCCCUCAGCUCUGGGAUAAGCCUGGGAAACCGGGUCUAAUACCGGAUAUGACUCCAUGACGCAUGUUGUGGGGUGGAAAGCCUUGUGCGGCUGAGGAUGGGCCCGCGGCCUAUCAGCUUGUUGGUGGGGUGAUGGCCACCAAGGCGACGACGGGUAGCCGGCCUGAGAGGGCGACCGGCCACACUGGGACUGAGACACGGCCCAGACUCCUACGGGAGGCAGCAGUGGGGAAUCUUGCGCAAUGGGCGAAAGCCUGACGCAGCGACGCCGCGUGAGGGACG
rnacentral:rRNA from 1 species